UCGUUAUAUUAAAACUCCGUGAAGUGGAAAUAAUUGAAAAAUAAUCGAAGUAUAUCUAAUUAUUUUUUUUUGGUCUUUGAAGCUACUUUUUCUUUUUUGGGUGCUAAUCACUUUCUUAAUCAUAUCAAUAAACAACAAUAAUAAUAAGAACAUGCUUAAUAUAUUCUAGUAAAAUAAGGUUUAAAGGGCAAAAAUGUAAGCAGAUCAUACCUCUACUUUAAAGAUAAGGUAGAAAAGUUGCUUCAAUUAAUGCGUGACGUUAAUAAUCAUUAGACUGAAUUCCUCUCAAUCUUUUUUCUCUAAUUGAUAGUGUUCGAAUAAGUUUUUAUGGAUUUUAAUUUUUAGAUCGAUAUAUUGCCUUCUUACUUUGGUUACAAUGACAAUAAUAAUAGCAUGCUUAAUAGUUAAUAUAGUUUUAUAAGUAGGAUCAGUUUGCGUGCAGCUCGACUAUUUUCAUAGGAUGCUUGCCACCUCCGUCGAACCAGCUUGCACGCAGUUCUACUAUUUUCAUGGGAUACCUGCCACCUCUCAUCAGAUCAGCUUGCUUGCAACUCGAUUAUUUUCACGGGAUACUUGUCACCUCUCAUCGAAUCAGUUUGCGCGCAACUCGAUUAUUUCUACGGGAUACCUGCCACCUCCCAUCGGACCAGCUUGCGUGCAACUCGACUAUUUUCAUGGGAUGCCUGUCACCUCCCAUCGGACCAGCUUGUGUGUAGCUCGACUAUUUUCACGGGAUACCUGCCACCUCCCAUCGGACCGGCUUGUGUGUAGCUCGACUAUUUUCACGUGUCUGUCUCUUCCCACGGGAGGAUCUGUCGGCCACCUCCCACCAACAACAGGUACUUGGUAACUCUAUCCACGAAGAUUAAAAUAGAUAGGAAGAAAUCACCCAGUGUUAAUUUAUUCUGAAAAUGACAUAAAUUAGCUUUUUUAGCAUAUGAUGUUAAGUGAAAAGAACAAUUGACGAUCAAUUUUGAACUGAAAAUUAAAAUUGACAUUUCAACAUUAUCACGAUAGAAGAGUACCUUUCGCCGCGUAAAAUAGUUAAAUCGAAAAAGAAUAAGAACUGAUAAAGAUAUUUAUCGUUUAUUGUUUAUCUCACGAAAUCAUGUACGCUUAUUUUAAAGGAGCUUCUUCGCCGCAUAAGAUUUUCAAAAAUCGAGAUUAGAGUGACUAACUGAGAUAAUCAUAUUUU
rnacentral:lncRNA from 1 species